rnacentral:rRNA from 1 species
CACGUAGGGUGCGAGCGUUGUCCGGAAUUAUUGGGCGUAAAGAGCUCGUAGGCGGUCUGUUGCGUCGGCUGUGAAAACCCGGGGCUCAACCCCGGGCCUGCAGCCGAUACGGGCAGACUAGAGUUCGGCAGGGGAGACUGGAAUUCCUGGUGUAGCGGUGAAAUGCGCAGAUAUCAGGAGGAACACCGGUGGCGAAGGCGGUUCUCUGGGCAUGAUCUGACGCUGAGGAGCGAAAGUGUGGGGAGCGAACAGG